rnacentral:RNase_P_RNA from 1 species
GCGUGCGAGCGACCGGUCGCGGCCUUCACGGCCGAGGAAAGUCCGGACUCCACAGGGCGGGGGAUCCGUCCGUAAAGGGCGGAAGGCGCGGGGAAAUCCCGCGCGAUGGAAAGUGCCACAGAAAAAGACAGCCUCGAGAGAGGUGAUGGUGAAACGGCGGUGCAAGAGACCACCGGCGCGGCUGAAACGACGCGCGCAGGGCAAACCCUCCCCGGAGCAAGAUCAAAUAGGGGAUCGACGGGCGGCCCGUCCGGAGGGACCGAAAGGUUCGCUUAGAUCCCGGGUUGAUCGCUUAGAUGAAUGACCGGAGUCCUCCGCAAGGGGGAUGAACAGAAUCUGGCUUAUUCGCCGCAUGCCGCU